GUGCGAUUUUGCUCUCCGUCGCCAUCAGACGUGCGUUCCAAAAAAUCAGAUCCAAAUAGGCAUUAAUUCUCAAAACUACAACUUUACAAUAAUUUUACCGCGAGUGAAUCAGUUUUUUGACGUUUAAAUUGCAAAAUGGCUGACUUUCAGUGUUUUUUUUUAUUCUAACCGGCCAGUGUAUGUCGUAAAGUGCCAGUACCCAUGUUGUAGUAGGAAAACGAUUUUUAUGACAAAAAUUACAUCAUGACAAUUCGAGAAUGACAAUGGAGGACUAUUAUUGUACUCGGGAGUUUAUUCAUAAUUUUUAGCCUUAAUAGUGAUUUUUCUAUUGUAUAGAGUCGAAUUAUAGUUUUUUUGUUGUAUUUGUAUACAGAUAUUUCGUUAUUUCUGAAUGUUAAUGGUUUAUAAUCAAUAAAAAUAAUGUAUUUACUAGUUUUAAUGUUACGUCUAGAUCAAAACUUGAAUAAUCCUGUUCUAAUACAUAUAAUCUGUUUGUAUAUAUGUUUAAUUUUACUGUAUAGUGUAUAAAAUUACCAUUUCUGUAGUAUCUACAGGUAGCAAGCACGGACAACCAUCAAUUUCUGCAUUUUACUCUGUGACAAACUCGCAACUUGCUCACACUUAGGAUGCAGGAGUUGUGAAGCACGCCAUCUAGGUUGUACAACUUAAAGUAAAAGUUGCUUGCUACUCGCCGGUAGAUGGGGUUGGAUGUUGAUUUAUUUUGCUGCUUUUGAGAAGAUGAAAGAAGAUAGAAGAAUGUAUUGUGCCGUGCCCUUGUCAUUCUUCUUGCCCGUGUGCUUUCAUACUACUGGACGGAGAACUGAUAAGGGCAUGUCCAAUACAAUUUCAUCGUGGGUUCGUGAGAUCAAGAUUUAAGGAAACUACAAGACUAUGUCUAUUUUUGUUAAAUAUAUUGUAAUUUUUUUGGUAUUAAGGACUUGUGAAUCCAUUUUCGAGCGAGAGGAUUCGAUUCCUGUUUCAAGCAAAGAAUUAUUGGGUUGUUUUCAGUUUUUAUUUAAAAACAUUUUAAAGAAUUCUGAUUAACUUAUCACAAUAAAGACAAAAAUUGUUGACAUGAGACUGGGUUCGAUUCGACUGAUCAUACAUACAUACAAAACUGUCUCCCAUGGAGGUAGACAGAGACUAUGGAACGCCAAUUGUUACGAUUCUUACAUACCUCUUUCGCUUCCUCCACCGACAAGAGUUCAUCAUUGAUUGUAUAUCCAAUAAUUUAAUAGAUACGUACUUACAUGUAAUGAACAGUGUUAGCCACCUUAGUUUUAAUAAUGGGCAAACGCAUGGAAAAGAUAACAUAACAUCAUCACGCCUUUUAUUAUAGGGGUAGGCAGAGGUAUACCUCUGCCU